CAAGUCGAACGGAAGUCGUUGUAAUGAUGUGGACAUGAACAGAGAACUUGUUCAAAGGGAGUGAAAAUUGACUUACAACAAUGGCUUUAGUGGCGGACUGGUGAGUAAUACGUAAGCAACCUGGCUAUUAGAGGGGAACAACAGUUAGAAAUGACUGCUAAUACCGCAUAUGCUCACAGUAUCACAUGAUAUAGUGAGGAAAGGAGCAAUCCGCUAAUAGAUGGGCUUACGGCUGAUUAGUUAGUUGGUGGGGUAACGGCCUACCAAGACCGCGAUCAGUAGCCGGACUGAGAGGUCAGGCGGCCACAUUGGGACUGAGAUACGGCCCAGACUCCUACGGGAGGCAGCAGUCGGGAAUUUUGCGCAAUGGAGGAAACUCUGACGCAGUGACGCCGCGUGCAGGAAGAAGGUUUUCGGAUUGUAAACUGCUUUAGACAGGGAAGAAAAAGGACAGUACCUGUAGAAUAAGCUCCGGCUAACUACGUGCC
rnacentral:rRNA from 1 species